AGAAGCUGGCAAGGCAUAUGGCCUUACUGAAAUGUCUGUUCUGUGCUUGGAGGCCACUGACAUCCAAAGAGACACUUUCUCUUUUUUAGUUUAACCUAGUCUCUGCUUCAGUGCCUGGAUUUUGCUCUGCUGUCACCGGGCCUGAGUUAGUGAAGAUCAAUCACCAAGACUGCUGACAGACUGACAGCAUUUUUCUCUGUCAAUCAAGAGAAAUCACUUCUGCGAUGGAGCUGGUCCACCUUCUCAAACAAAGCGUCAGAGACAGCUUUGGCAGAAACAGUAAAAACUGCACCCCGAAAGGAAAGAACCUCUGUCCUAACAAGAACAUGCAUGUUUGUAAUCUGAAAUGCACACAAACAGAUUUUACCACCCUUUUACUGGGUUCAAAAACAGCACUCUGAAGUCUCUGCACCCAACUAUUACAAACUUGAAGAUUCUAAGCAACAUUCAUACAUCAAACAGAAACAACCUUUCAAAAUAUGAAGUCUUUUCCAAGCAUGCCUUACCCUGACUCCUUCUCACCACCCAUCCACCCGAACACUGCACAUGAACUGAGUUCUUUAAAUUUCUGAGACGACUGUACAACCACCUUCUGCAUAAAAAUCGAGCAGCUUAAAUCUGCAGCAUGUUCAACACCUUCAGCCUCCCCCAAAUUCCUGCUGAACAACUGGCGUGAAUCGCCUUCCCUCACCUACAGACUGUCACCAGCCCUGGAACAGACGAGGGAGGCUUCAGCCGUGCGUGGGAAGCAUCAGCCAUCUUCUGUGACUUCAUAUGCUGCAACACAGAAGAGAAAUCUGCAUUCUUCUCAGUUCUUGUGCAAAGCUGGUGGUGUUACAUUCCACCACCCUUCAGUUUGAAUUGUAGUCCUCUCUUCCUCCCUCAGUCAGAAGUUCUGUUUUGACAAAAAUCUGCUUUUGUGCAGAGCAGUGAAUACUGCAAGGCUACAGCUUGAUCUGAAGGCAAAGCAACCUGGCACCUUCAAAAUUUAGAUCAAUAAGCCUGAAGUGGAAAAAAUUUCAGCUGCAUCAUCUAUGUCUUACUGCUGAUGAUACAAUUGCUCUAAAUAAAGGAGAUUAUCACCAGAUACAUGGAAUUCUCUAUGUCCCUAAAUCAGGAGGUUAAAGCCAUUUACCAACUCAGUCACUAUCAACUUCUCUCCCCACUCCUCUUCUGCCUUUCUCAAGGUAAGUGACUUACAUACAUUCAACAGUGGCAUUAAAAUAGAAAGGUUAAAGUCAAAUCUCCUUUAACCUUUUCCAGAUCAACCUCAGAAGGACUUUUUUUCACCUCCCAGGUACAUCCUAACUAGUAGGUUGGAAGGUAAGCAGUGUAUCAUGCUUUUUGCCAUCUCUUAGCUUAGUUUUGACUUGAUUUGUGCAUUGGUAUUUUCAGAAUACUUGUUACUGUUUCUGUACUGUAAAUUUCUGCUGACUUUUCUCCUGGAAUAGGAGUUUGCAGAGAUUGCCUUUUGUAGUCAUGGCCUGUGUCUUCCUAACUCUGGAGAACCCCUCUG